UGCUUAACACAUGCAAGUCGAACGGAAAGGCCCUGCUUUUGUGGGGUGCUCGAGUGGCGAACGGGUGAGUAACACGUGAGUAACCUGCCCUUGACUUUGGGAUAACUUCAGGAAACUGGGGCUAAUACCGGAUAGGAGCUCCUGCUGCAUGGUGGGGGUUGGAAAGUUUCGGCGGUUGGGGAUGGACUCGCGGCUUAUCAGCUUGUUGGUGGGGUAGUGGCUUACCAAGGCUUUGACGGGUAGCCGGCCUGAGAGGGUGACCGGCCACAUUGGGACUGAGAUACGGCCCAGACUCCUACGGGAGGCAGCAGUGGGGAAUAUUGCACAAUGGGCGGAAGCCUGAUGCAGCAACGCCGCGUGCGGGAUGACGGCCUUCGGGUUGUAAACCGCUUUCGCCUGUGACGAAGCGUGAGUGACGGUAAUGGGUAAAGAAGCACCGGCUAACUACGUGCCAGCAGCCGCGGUGAUACGUAGGGUGCGAGCGUUGUCCGGAUUUAUUGGGCGUAAAGGGCUCGUAGGUGGUUGAUCGCGUCGGAAGUGUAAUCUUGGGGCUUAACCCUGAGCGUGCUUUCGAUACGGGUUGACUUGAGGAAGGUAGGGGAGAAUGGAAUUCCUGGUGGAGCGGUGGAAUGCGCAGAUAUCAGGAGGAACACCAGUGGCGAAGGCGAUUCUCUGGGCCUUUCCUGACGCUGAGGAGCGAAAGCGUGGGGAGCGAACAGGCUUAGAUACCCUGGUAGUCCACGCUGUAAACGGUGGGUACUAGGUGUGGGGUCCAUUCCACGGGUUCCGUGCCGUAGCUAACGCUUUAAGUACCCCGCCUGGGGAGUACGGCCGCAAGGCUAAAACUCAAAGGAAUUGACGGGGCCCCGCACAAGCGGCGGAGCAUGCGGAUUAAUUCGAUGCAACGCGUAGAACCUUACCUGGGUUUGACAUGGAUCGGGAGUGCUCAGAGAUGGGUGUGCCUCUUUUGGGGUCGGUUCACAGGUGGUGCAUGGCUGUCGUCAGCUCGUGUCGUGAGAUGUUGGGUUAAGUCCCGCAACGAGCGCAACCCUUGUUCACUGUUGCCAGCACGUUAUGGUGGGGACUCAGUGGAGACCGCCGGGGUCAACUCGGAGGAAGGUGGGGAUGACGUCAAGUCAUCAUGCCCCUUAUGUCCAGGGCUUCACGCAUGCUACAAUGGCUGGUACAGAGAGUGGCGAGCCUGUGAGGGUGAGCGAAUCUCGGAAAGCCGGUCUCAGUUCGGAUUGGGGUCUGCAACUCGACCUCAUGAAGUCGGAGUCGCUAGUAAUCGCAGAUCAGCAACGCUGCGGUGAAUACGUUCCCGGGGCUUGUACACACCGCCCGUCAAGUCAUGAAAGUUGGUAACACCCGAAGCCGGUGGCCUAACCGUUGUGGGGGAGCCGUCGAAGGUGGGACUGGUGAUUAGGACU
rnacentral:rRNA from 1 species